GUUCUUUAAAUGAGGACUAGUAUGAAUGGCACCACGAAGGUUAUACUGUCUCCUUUCUUUAAUCAGUGAAACUAAUCUCCCCGUGAAGAAGCGGGGAUAAGCCUAUAAGACGAGAAGACCCUAUGGAGCUUUAAACAUAAGUAACAACUGCCCAUUAAAUUUUUUAAUCUCAGGAAAUUAAUCACAACACUUAGGCACUUUGAUUACAAGUUUUAGGUUGGGGUGACCGCGGAGCAAAAAAUAACCUCCGCAGUGAAUGGAACUUAUUUCCUAAACCCAGGGCUACGACCCUAAGAAUCAAUAAAUUGACACUGAUUGACCCAAUAUUUUUGAUCAAUGAACCAAGUUACCCUAGGGAUAACAGCGCAAUCCACUUCAAGAGCCCCUAUCGACAA
rnacentral:rRNA from 1 species